UCUGUUUUUAUUGUGCAGUUACACAGCGCUUUCUCCAGUUUCACCUGACGAAAAUGCUACCAAAACAAAGCGAACGAGACAAGCUACAAAUUCGAGAUGCCCACCCAGAUCACUGGACAAUGAGAGAGGAGGGACCAUAAAAGAUGGCUAUCACGAUCCGGAGCUGUUGGUACAGGCCAGCACAAAACCCGGAUAACACUGCACUUUGUUUCACGAUAAAUUAUGUUUGCACCACGAGCACCACAGUAUUCACUUUGGACUGGUGACCAUGUUUGUAUAUUGCGGAUGUAUUAAAGACUGUGUUUAUUGUGUUGAAACUGAGCAGUACAUAGCCUUGUGUACUACCAUUCAUUAUUAUUUAACAUUUGUCAAUAGACUUUGGAUUAAAAAUAAAACACCCUUGCACCUGGA